rnacentral:rRNA from 1 species
CCUACGGGAGGCAGCAGGGGGAAUAUUGGACAAUGGGCGCAAGCCUGAUCCAGCAAUGCCGCGUGUGUGAAGAAGGCCUGCGGGUUGUAAAGCACUUUAAGCAGGAAAGAAGGUUUCAAGGCUAAUAUCCUUGGAAAUUGACGUUACCUGCAGAAUAAGCACCGGCUAACUCCGUGCCAGCAGCCGCGGUAAUACGGAGGGUGCGAGCGUUAAUCGGAAUUACUGGGCGUAAAGCGCACGUAGGCGGCGACACAAGUCAGAGGUGAAAGCCCGGGGCUCAACCCCGGAACUGCCUUUGAAACUAGGUUGCUAGAAUCUUGGAGAGGCCAGUGGAAUUCCGAGUGUAGAGGUGAAAUUCGUAGAUAUUCGGAAGAACACCAGUGGCGAAGGCGACUGACUGGACAAGUAUUGACCCUGAGGUGCGAAGGCGUGGGGAGCAAACAGGAUUAGAUACCCUGGUAG